rnacentral:rRNA from 1 species
CACGGGUGCGUAACGCGUGGGAAUCUGCCCUUGGGUUCGGAAUAACAGCGAGAAAUUGCUGCUAAUACCGGAUGAUGACGUAAGUCCAAAGAUUUAUCGCCCAGGGAUGAGCCCGCGUAGGAUUAGCUAGUUGGUGGGGUAAAGGCCUACCAAGGCGACGAUCCUUAGCUGGUCUGAGAGGAUGAUCAGCCACACUGGGACUGAGACACGGCCCAGACUCCUACGGGAGGCAGCAGUGGGGAAUAUUGGACAAUGGGCGAAAGCCUGAUCCAGCAAUGCCGCGUGAGUGAUGAAGGCCUUAGGGUUGUAAAGCUCUUUUACCCGGGAUGAUAAUGACAGUACCGGGAGAAUAAGCUCCGGCUAACUCCGUGCCAGCAGCCGCGGUAAU